CGGUAGCACAGAGAGCUUGCUCUCGGGUGACGAGUGGCGGACGGGUGAGUAAUGUCUGGGAAACUGCCCGAUGGAGGGGGAUAACUACUGGAAACGGUAGCUAAUACCGCAUAAUGUCGCAAGACCAAAGAGGGGGACCUUCGGGCCUCUUGCCAUCGGAUGUGCCCAGAUGGGAUUAGCUGGUAGGUGGGGUAACGGCUCACCUAGGCGACGAUCCCUAGCUGGUCUGAGAGGAUGACCAGCCACACUGGAACUGAGACACGGUCCAGACUCCUACGGGAGGCAGCAGUGGGGAAUAUUGCACAAUGGGCGCAAGCCUGAUGCAGCCAUGCCGCGUGUAUGAAGAAGGCCUUCGGGUUGUAAAGUACUUUCAGCGAGGAGGAAGGCGUUGUGGUUAAUAACCACAGCGAUUGACGUUACUCGCAGAAGAAGCACCGGCUAACUCCGUGCCAGCAGCCGCGGUAAUACGGAGGGUGCAAGCGUUAAUCGGAAUUACUGGGCGUAAAGCGCACGCAGGCGGUCUGUCAAGUCGGAUGUGAAAUCCCCGGGCUCAACCUGGGAACUGCAUCCGAAACUGGCAGGCUAGAGUCUUGUAGAGGGGGGUAGAAUUCCAGGUGUA
rnacentral:rRNA from 1 species